rnacentral:rRNA from 1 species
AUUGAACGCUGGCGGCAGGCCUAACACAUGCAAGUCGAACGGUAACAGGAAGAAGCUUGCUUCUUUGCUGACGAGUGGCGGACGGGUGAGUAAUGUCUGGGAAACUGCCUGAUGGGGGGGGAUAACUACUGGAAACGGUAGCUAAUACCGCAUAACGUCGCAAGACCAAAGAGGGGGACCUUCGGGCCUCUUGCCAUCGGAUGUGCCCAGAUGGGAUUAGCUAGUAGGUGGGGUAACGGCUCACCUAGGCGACGAUCCCUAGCUGGUCUGAGAGGAUGACCAGCCACACUGGAACUGAGACACGGUCCAGACUCCUACGGGAGGCAGCAGUGGGGAAUAUUGCACAAUGGGCGCAAGCCUGAUGCAGCCAUGCCGCGUGUAUGAAGAAGGCCUUCGGGUUGUAAAGUACUUUCAGCGGGGAGGAAGGGAGUAAAGUUAAUACCUUUGCUCAUUGACGUUACCCGCAGAAGAAGCACCGGCUAACUCCGUG